rnacentral:ncRNA from 1 species
GCCGAGGAGCGUUGCAACGGGUAUCUUCCCGCCAGGCUCGGAUUGCACGGCGUCUAUCUUUGACCAACGGCGCUCAGU